AAACUAAGGUUGAGGACAUUUUCGCAAGAGUUCCUUGAACCUUUCCCAUGUCUCAAAUAGAGACUCCAAUUUCAUUUGCACAAAGGAAGAGAUCUCAUUCCUAAGCUU